UGUUAAAAUUUUUAUCCUUUUUUUACUAUUAAAAAUGAGAGUGGUUGAGAGAAUAACUAGAUAGUUAUACGUGUGUGUCACGUGUACCUCGCGCUAAUAUGCACGGACUUGUUGUUAAUAAGUAGAAAUUGAUGAAAUUUUUAAUA
rfam:Gossypium arboreum cultivar AKA8401 contig_9254_3, whole genome shotgun sequence.